rnacentral:rRNA from 1 species
UACGUAGGGGGCAAGCGUUUGUCCGGAAUCAUUGGGCGUAAAGCGCGUGUAGGCGGCCUUGUAAGUCCGUUCUGAAAGUCACAGGCUCAACCUGUGAAAGCGGGUGGAUACUGCCGGGCUAGAGUCCGGAAGAGGCGAGUGGAAUUCCUGGUGUAGCGGUGGAAUGCGCAGAUAUCAGGAGGAACACCAACGGCGAAGGCAGCUCGCUGGGACGGUACUGACACUGAGGCGCGAAAGCGUGGGGAGCGAACAGG